GUCGAGCGAACAGAAGGGAGCUUGCUCCCGGAUGUUAGCGGCGGACGGGUGAGUAACACGUGGGUAACCUGCCUGUAAGACUGGGAUAACUCCGGGAAACCGGAGCUAAUACCGGAUAGUUCCUUGAACCGCAUGGUUCAAGGAUGAAAGACGGUUUCGGCUGUCACUUACAGAUGGACCCGCGGCGCAUUAGCUAGUUGGUGGGGUAAUGGCUCACCAAGGCGACGAUGCGUAGCCGACCUGAGAGGGUGAUCGGCCACACUGGGACUGAGACACGGCCCAGACUCCUACGGGAGGCAGCAGUAGGGAAUCUUCCGCAAUGGACGAAAGUCUGACGGAGCAACGCCGCGUGAGUGAUGAAGGUUUUCGGAUCGUAAAGCUCUGUUGUUAGGGAAGAACAAGUGCGAGAGUAACUGCUCGCACCUUGACGGUACCUAACCAGAAAGCCACGGCUAACUACGUGCCAGCAGCCGCGGUAAUACGUAGGUGGCAAGCGUUGUCCGGAAUUAUUGGGCGUAAAGGGCUCGCAGGCGGUUUCUUAAGUCUGAUGUGAAAGCCCCCGGCUCAACCGGGGAGGGUCAUUGGAAACUGGGAAACUUGAGUGCAGAAGAGGAGAGUGGAAUUCCACGUGUA
rnacentral:rRNA from 2 species